rnacentral:tRNA from 1 species
CCCUAGCUGGUUCAGUUGGUAGAGCACGGGGCUCUUGAUCUCAGGGUCGUGAGUUCGAGCCCCAUGUUGGGUG